AUGGUCUCGCCAUUCCGGCUCCAGGCAGAGGCUUACGCACACCUAAGGUUCAGCUCCAUGCUUUCACUGCUGCUGUUCGGGGAUCACCAAGCCAGCGCCCCACCAAAACCACCAUGGUCGUCCCUUGUGCAAGAACAGAUCGGUGGGGAUGGAGAUGAGGUCACCACCUUCACCAAGGUCUUCCAAGUCAGGUGGUGCAAGCAUAGUUGGUGUGCAGUGUUACCGUGUUCAUUGUCAAUGAAGGUGGUCACAUCCCAACCAUGGUCGCCAUCUCCACGCGUGGAGCUCUAUGCCAGGGGAGUAGGCCAGCCGUCAUGGCUACCACCAGAAACAUACACUGUGUUGUUGCUGUCAAGGAAUGAUUCUAUUAUGCCAGUGAUUGAGCUGAAGCCAUGGCCGGAUCCGCGACAGAGUGAAGGUAGUGGAAGUGUGGUGAACAAACUGCAACAGUAUGGAUUUGGGAUGUCGAAUUGGGUCCAUGUGUUCGUUUGGAGGAAGGCUGGGGCAAGCAACCUUGGGAACAAUUACAUUAAGAAGCAAUUGAGGGUGGUUGUCCUGGACUUUCAAAGGGUAGCACUUGGGUGUUGCUCACAUGCCACAAGCUGGCAACUGGAGUUCCUGAAGCUCUAUGAAGUGACAAAGGUCAACGAGAACAGAACACCGAGACUAUGUGCAGAUAACAAGUUUCUCCGGGCAACAAAAUACAAAGGGUUUGAUUACUAG
rnacentral:rRNA from 1 species